rnacentral:snoRNA from 1 species
ACCAAUCAUACUAGUACAUUAUAAACCAAGAAGUAUGAUUAAUCCAGUUUGGUACACCUGAGGU